AAAACGAGGAAAAGCGAAGAAACAGAUCCCCAGAAGGCAGGAAUGCGCGCAGGAAACGGCAAGGAGAACAGGAAUACAGUGGCUUGACAGUCACUUUUAUUGCAGCCCCAUUCCACCGUGAAAAAUGUCGUGUACAGUAUCUUAAAUGGAUCAUACUACGGCUUACAUCUUUAAUGCCUGAUCACAGUGCCAGAGGAGUUCAAAGAGCCCUUGCUAAAACCAGCAGCAGAAUGCCACGACGCUUAUACAAGCCACUGAAGUACCUACUUUGUAGCCAGAAGUAAUUAUGUUCAUGUGCUAAUCUCUUCUGGAGAAACUCAGUGUAACAGCAGAGAUCCCAUCGAUCAGAUAAGAAAGAGCUCCAUGCAAGACAAAGGGCUGCUGCUUUUCUUGAAAACACAGCUAAAAGGCAAACCAGCAUUCUGUGUGCGACAGCGCAAGGUACAGGCAUUCCACCGCUUGGAACUAAGAACGUCAGUGCUGGGAACACAGACCGAUGAUAAGGAAUAACUGCAUCUGCUUCCUUCCUUUGCUUGAGAGAGCACAAAUCUGCAUCUCAAGAUAGUGCCACAACUAUGAGGUCCUUGACUUUGCAAGCUCAGGAACCUCAGGUUUAAGAAUCCACUGCUGUGAGGCUGGAAAGCCAGUUGCCUUUAUAGAUCUCACUGUUACUCCCCACUUUUCUUAAAAUAAGGAUGGAAUGAGACAGAAUCUUGAACCUUCACCCGAACUAUGCAAUACUUCCAAAGGUUACUAGUUAAUGCUGUUGAGCCAGUUUAAGUCAGUACAAAAUAUUUCAGAUAGAAAGCAUUCAAGAGCCAUCACUAAGGGAUACAGAUUUAAGCAUGGAAGCAGGCGUAACGGAGCUUAUGCUCUGGAGUUUCACAGGACUAGAUCCAAGUUAGCAAGUGCAGCUUCUGGGAAACAAAUGACCCUGUGCAGUCCAAGCAGCGGCAAAAGGUCUUUGUAAAAUGACUGCUAAUCUACCUUCAAACCAGGGAGGAGCUAAAGUAGGGAGUGAGGGGGGAGAACAGCAGGCAGGCAGAAAUUGUAACUUUACUUUUAUCUAAUAGCCUCGGACAGCUAAACUGCUUGUUACAGCUUACCAACAUGAGUCCAAACCUGAGCUAGAAGGCUUACGUGUUUGUUAUUCAGGUGGUUACUGUUUGGGAAGUUGUAAAUCCUCUGUUCUCUAUGGCUCAGGGCACGCUAAAGAGCCUUAAAAGCUGCUGCCAGCAACGACAGGGAGAAUAUUGUCAGUAUUUGUAUUACCACAAAAAGAUAAAUAUACACCAAUAUCAGUCAUACCAAAACCUCAAACUGUAGGUGUAGGAAAUAACUUUGGAACAUCAAGAUGAGACAGUUGGCAGAAUUUUACUGCUCCCUUUUUAAUUUUUCAGUACACUUCACGUUCUUUUAUCUGGGGCUAUUUGUGCACAUUAGCAAGGUGAAAAGAUUCCGGUCUCUCCCAAAAGCCCCUAUUCACAAGUGUAUUUGGGCCUCAUUAAUUUAAAACCAAUACAAAAUACUUUCCAAAGCUUUCUAAGUGCCCAAAUGCAAUAAAACCUUACCAUUAUACUGCAGCAUAAAAUACUUAACGUUUAAUUUAGGCUGUGCACGUUAAUGUUUUACUGUAAUCUUUUCAGGUAUAAAACUGUUUUACCCACUGCA